GAGCAGAGCUCAGGUGACAUCACAGAACAGGCAGAGGCAGUUCAGGGGUAUUCUGGUUGCCUUACCCAGCUCUGAAGUCUGUCAGCCUCUUCAGAUGUCACUUGCCAUGUGGUAAGGAAGUGUAGUCAGCAGCUGGUGCAGUGGGAAGAAGAGAAAGGAAGUUCCCCAAGACAAAAACAUCUCGGCAGACUUCAUCAUGAAUUCAUGGCAUCACACAGUCCCCUGAUGCUAUAACAUCAUGGAUUUCUUUUGUCCAGUGAGAGGCCCAAAAGCUGCAGCAUAGACAAUAUCAUAGUGUAGAAGGUUCACUAGACCGUGAUCAUGGGCUACAUUCUCCGUACCAGCUUCAUAGCUCCAGUGAGAAAAUAAAUUCCUGCAUCCAGGAGAUGUGGAGUAAGAGAUACAGCUGCCCUUGACCAUAUUUCUUACUUCCGAGAAGAUCGUAGCAGUAAUUCAGAAUCUCAUCCAGGAUACCUCAUCACAGGCUGGAGUGCAGUGUCAUGAGCUUGGCUCACUACAGCCUCCAUCUUCUGUGCUUAAGGAUCCUUCCCUCUCAACCUCCAAGGUAGCUGAGACUACAGGCAACAUUCGAAACCCAGGUGCCACUCCUUCAGGAAGGUACCAUCAAGCUCCAAGGACUCAUCCUCUUUCUCCUUCCCCACUACCUAGUCAUUAGAGCGUCAGCAUCCACUUCCUGAAAGGAAGAUGCCUGUUUUUCACAUAUCCCAGAAAGCCUCAUUUUAGGACAGCAUUUAGCAGAGUGUAUUCAGGAUCCCACUAACCUUUUCGGAAGACAUGACUUCCAGAUGAUAUAAGGCAAGAAUAAGAAAUUUCAGUGACAGGGAACAGAAAUCAUAUUUCUGCAUUCAGGAUCAUGUUUUCUUGGCUCCAUCAGGAACUGUGCAGGACUGUGCACUCUGUUGAUACUCACAUGGUGGAAUUAUAUUGCCCUUGGCCAACCCUAAAGCCAUCAAGAUAGCAGCAACUACUCUAUCAUUACUGUACCACCACCUGUAUGGAUCUCGUUGCCCAUAUGAAACUGAGUAAGGAACAAUGUGCAUCACACUCACAGAGAAAGAUGGACAAGUUUGGAAUAAUUCACUGUCGAAGUCUUCUUGAGCUGAGCAGUCAUGUGAGCUUGGAAGAUGAUCCCUCUCCAGCUGAUCCUUCAGCUCAGGCCAUCAUCUACAUCUGGAUUCCUGACCCGGAGAAACUAUGAGUAAUGUGUGCUGCUUUUGAGCCACUAAGCUACAUGAAUUAAUGAAGGAUCAUUAUUAAGUUUUUAAUGGGUCAAGAGAAAGUUACCACUGAGGUCUUCUCUACCUGGGCAACAAUUGACUCCUAACAACCACUAUAAGCUUGGAAGAUGAUCCCUCCCCAGCUGAUCCUUCAGGCUCAGACUUUGACAGUCCUCUGAUAUACUUUAUAUGUAAAUAGAUGGCUGAGUGUUCUGGCUGAUGAACAUGGGUUACUUAACCAGAGUUAAGCGAGGACUUUCUCACCUGAAACCACCAAGAGACACAAAAGCCAGAAAAGGACAGAAAUUAAUUCAAGGGUCAACAAAUAGAGUCGGCUUUCUUUAAGACCUGAAGUGUAGAAGUCUAGGUUGAACCCUAGGUUGAUUACGUUGAAGACUACAUUCUCCUGUGAAGCAAGCAUUCCUAAAGGGUCUCUACUUUUUGUAGCCUGGGGAUUUUCUACUCCCCCAACAGCCAGAUGAGGCAGAAACCCCUACAGACAUCCCUAUGUGCCUCCUGUGCAAGUGCAGUUGCCCCUUGAAGGCAGUUCUCCUGCUGCAGACCACGCCCACCAAGGGCAGAGUCACAGCCACUGCAGCUGAGCUCAGAGCCUUCUGUGGGGUCUGCAGGGGCAAGGCCAGCUGUCCCCUGGGAUAGUUUGAAGAAUGCAGUUUGUUUGUAUAAUAAAGAUGUUUCUCUACGUCAUUCAUCUUGCUAAUCAAGGACGUUUAACAGCUUCAGACUUUCCUGGUAAUAUUUGUUCUUGCCUUUUUUUGGCAAAUAUAGUUAACACUUCUAUGCAUUUUUUACCUCACAUAAACAUCAUCUAAAACCA
rnacentral:lncRNA from 1 species